GAUGAACGCUGGCGGCGUGCCUAACACAUGCAAGUCGAGCGAUCUCUUCGGAGAGAGCGGCGGGCGGGUGAGUAACGCGUGGGUAACCUGCCCUGUACACACGGAUAACAUACCGAAAGGUAUACUAAUACGGGAUAACAUACGAAAGUCGCAUGGCUUUUGUAUCAAAGCUCCGGCGGUACAGGAUGGACCCGCGUCUGAUUAGCUAGUUGGUAAGGUAAUGGCUUACCAAGGCAGCGAUCAGUAGCCGACCUGAGAGGGUGAUCGGCCACACUGGAACUGAGACACGGUCCAGACUCCUACGGGAGGCAGCAGUGGGGAAUAUUGCACAAUGGGCGAAAGCCUGAUGCAGCAACGCCGCGUGAGCGAUGAAGGCCUCCGGGUCGUAAAGCUCUGUCCUCAAGGAAGAUAAUGACGGUACUUGAGGAGGAAGCCCCGGCUAACUACGUGCCAGCCGCCGCAGUAA
rnacentral:rRNA from 1 species